UACGAAGGGGGCUAGCGUUGCUCGGAAUCACUGGGCGUAAAGCGCACGUAGGCGGAUCUUUAAGUCAGGGGUGAAAUCCUGGAGCUCAACUCCAGAACUGCCUUUGAUACUGAGGAUCUCGAGUUCGGGAGAGGUGAGUGGAACUGCGAGUGUAGAGGUGAAAUUCGUAGAUAUUCGCAAGAACACCAGUGGCGAAGGCGGCUCACUGGCCCGAUACUGACGCUGAGGUGCGAAAGCGUGGGGAGCAAACAGG
rnacentral:rRNA from 1 species